UAGUGACACAUUUCUCAGAAUGCAUCUCCAUUGUGAAGUGAUACAUGUGUCUAUGUGUGUGUAUAUAUGUGUGCGUGUGUAUAUAAAUGAAUAAAUGUAUAUGAAAGAAUGUCUGGACAUUUUCUAGCUAGGAAAUUGAACUUGACUCGAGAGUUCUUGGUUACUGUUCAAGGUGUCUUGAACCCAUACGGUGAGUAGUUACUGAGUGCUUCUCUGCACCUUGCACCAUGCUACUGCUGGAGGUUUAGUGGCACACAGGCACAGCUCUUGGCUUCAUGGGGCUUGUAGUCUUGGUGAAUAUGGUGAGAGCAAGACUUUAACCACAUAAGCAUGCUAAUAAAUAAUUAGAAGUUGUGACAUGUGCCCUGAAAAGAUAUAUUGUACUAUUAAGACAUGUGGCUGGGGAUCUGACUUAGGAUGGACGAUUGAGGAGAUAUUUCACUGAGAAAAUGACAUUUCACUUGACAUUAGAAAGAUUA
rnacentral:lncRNA from 1 species